GAUCAUGGCUCAGGACGAACGCUGGCGGCGUGCUUAACACAUGCAAGUCGAACGAAGAGCGAUGGAAGCUUGCUUCUAUCAAUCUUAGUGGCGAACGGGUGAGUAACGCGUAAUCAACCUGCCCCUUCAGAGGGGGACAACAGUUGGAAACGACUGCUAAUACCGCAUACGAUCUAAUCUCGGCAUCGAGGAAAGAUGAAAGGUGGCCUCUACAUGUAAGCUAUC
rnacentral:rRNA from 1 species